UACGUAGGGGGGCAAGCGUUGUCCGGAUUUAUUGGGCGUAAAGAGCGUGUGGGCGGUUUGGUAGGUCCGCUGUGAAAACUCGAGCUCAACCUCGAGACGCCGGUGGAAACCAUCAGACUAGAGUCCGGAAGAGGAGAGUGGAAUUCCUGGUGUAGCGGUGAAAUGCGCAGAUAUCAGGAAGAACACCCGUGGCUAAGGCGGCUCUCUAGUACGGUACUGACGCUGAGACGCGAAAGCGUGGGGGAGCG
rnacentral:rRNA from 1 species